rnacentral:lncRNA from 1 species
UACAGGGCUGGUAUUGCAGAGUUCAUGGCAACUUUCUUGUUCUUGUAUAUCACAAUCUUGACUGUUAUGGGUCUUAAGAGAUCUGAUAGUUUAUGUUCUUCAGUGGGUAUUCAAGGGGUUGCUUGGGCUUUUGGUGGUAUGAUCUUUGCUUUGGUCUACUGUACUGCUGGUAUCUCAGGUUGGUUUCAUUGCCCCCCUUUUCAUUCUUGAUGCUAAAGAUUGUAACUUUACUUGUUUUACUUAAAGAGUGAGUUUGUGUUCAUUUAUUGUCUACUGAUUGCUUUUGUCAACUGGUUUUGUGGAUUGCUGAGUAUGUAGAAGGUAAAGAUUUGUUUUAUUUUUACUGGUUUAGAGGUUUGAAACAUGUUAACUGGUUUGUUUUAUGUUUCUUGAUUUCUUUGAGUUGAUUCCCUUCUUUUGCUUAAGAUAGUUGAGCUUGUGUUCACUUAUUGUGUAUAUUUGUCGACUAAUUUAAUGGAUUCUUGAUCUUGAGUAUAGUCAAUUAAAGAUUCAUUUUUCACUGUUUUUAAAGGUCCAAAACAUGUUACUGGUUUGAUUUCUGUGUCUGAGGUACAAAAAUGGAGUUUGGUGAAGCUUAUUCCUUUACCUCUAUACUGUAAAAAUAUGACUUCUCUUUAUUUUCCUUCGUUCACUAAUUUUGUAUCUCAUACUUUUUACAACUAAUUUGAUGGAUCCUUGAAGAUUCAACCUUUCUUUGUCUUGGAGGUUCAAAACAUGUAAAUGGUUUAUUUUCUGAAUCUUGUUACUUUACCCUUUUUAUAUAGCAAGUGUAACACUUUGUGGCUUAUUUCUUUGUUUGCUUGCUUUUGAUCACCAUAUUUGAGCUUUUAGUUACUUUAUUUGUACCAUCAUACCUUUUUCAACUAAUUAAUGGGAUCUUGAGUAUAAUUCACAUAAGGGUAUAGUUUUUUCCUGUUUUGAAGUUCAAAGCAUGUUACAUAUUUUGUAAAAUGAGUCUUUUCCUUCUUUGAAUAAGGGUUGGCUUGUUUUCUCUGAUGCUAAAUUCUGUGUUUUGAUAUCAAACAGGAGGACACAUCAACCCAGCUGUGACCUUUGGUCUUUUCUUGGCAAGGAAAUUGUCCUUGACCAGGGCUGUUUUCUACAUGGUGAUGCAGUGCCUUGGUGCAAUCUGUGGUGCUGGUGUU